ACUACAUCCUUCCAGAUUUAUCUUAAACCAGUUUCAGCCAUUUUGAAAGCAGUUUUUGUGCCCUGAAUUUCUAUUGUAUUAUAGAUUUGAAAUGGUUUCCUAUCACUUAUACUGGUUUAUGUGUAAUUUCUGUUCCUAACCUAUAUGAUUUAAACCAGGAUGAAGAAAAG